AAGCAUCUCUGCCUCAUCCUCCUUGCAAACUGACAGUAGCAAAGGGAAUUUUUCCUUAUCGGGGAGUAAGAAGCUCUUUUUUGACACUCAUGCUCUUGUGCGUCUCUUGGAAGGAAAUGGAUUCACUACUCUGCAGUCCGAGAUUAUUGUAUCUGCUUUAGUGAAAAUCACAGACACCAAUCUAGAUCUUAUUUACAAGGACAUGGUCACGAAAGUGCAGCAGGAAAUCGCUCUUCAGCAAAUAAUGUCUCAUAUUGGUGGUGUGAAAAAGGACAUGGUAAUUUUGGAGAAGAGUGAAUUUUCAGCACUCCGGGCAGAAAAUGAGAAAAUUAAACUUGAACUCCAGCAGCUGAAGAAACAAGUAAUGGAUGAAGUUACCAAACUUCGUACAGAUAACAAGUUAGACCUCAAUUUAGAGAAGAGCAGAGUAAAAGAACUGUAUUCACUUAAUGAAAAAAAACUACUGGAAAUGAGGUCAGAGAUAGUGGAAUUGAAGAGAGAGAGGUUUAGCUACAGAAUUGGCCAAAAGGACUUGGUCUUAGUUUUUAACAGCAUGCACAGCAGGAUCGAGCCGUGACCCAAACUGAUAGGAAAAUCGACACAGAAGUUGCAGGGUUGAAAACAAUGCUUGAAUCGCACAAACUUGAUAAUAUUAAAUACUUAGCAGGUUCAGUAUUUACAUGCCUUACUGUAGCACUGGGAUUUUAUCGUCUAUGGAUGUAAUAAAGUGUCUACUUAAAAGGACUUGUACUGUCUUGCCUUAUGAAAAUCAAGGAUAUUUUCACUUUAGCUACAAGAAUUUUUUCCUGAAUGAAAAAUAAUGUUUAUUAUUUUAUUUAUAUUUAUUUUUAUAGCAAACUACAUUGAGAAUGUAACAAAAAUGUGCCUAGAAAAAAUAUCUGUACUAUUUCAGUACCUAAUGGAAAGAGAAACUUGCCUCUGGUCAGAGCAAAGUAGAGAAUAUGCAGCACUGCCAAUCCCCUUGCAUCCUAAAUUGUAAUAUCUCCAUACUUUUGUAGUUCUAGGGUUUCAGUUAAGUAGAGACUGCCAGUCAUGCCAAAUUAUAUAAUUGCUCUUGUGGAGAGGUCUGCUAAAGAUUAUAUACCAAACUCUCCUGAGGCAUGCAUGCCUAAUGGUAGAUACUUGUAUCAGAGCAGAGUUGAUCACAAAUUUUAAACCUUUUAGUACCAUUUUGUGACUGCAAGGGACUCCUAGACCUAAUUUUAAUGAAAUGCAAGUUGAUUAAACUAGAGGCAUACAUUCUUUUCCCCCAUGUUCAUCUGUCUAUACUCUCUGUGCUACAAAUACAUAUAUUUAUAUACUUAUUAUAAAGAAAUAUUUUUUCUAUUUGUUAUACUAAUUAUGUGCAUCAUAGUUUGUUUCCCAGAUGGCCGUCCAAACAACUGUACUUCAUUAGAAAUUGUUCUGUAAUAAGUGUCUUUACCACCUUUUUGUAGGUUUGAUAUGUAGUGUGCUAAGAGCUGUUGCAACUUUUAAAACACACAGGGCUCUGAAACUCAUUCCCUAUGGCAAUUGUGAACUUGGUUCUAAAACUGGAACAGAGUUUUGGAGCGUAGUAACAUGCAUUCACUUGUAUUAUCUCUUGUAAAGCACGUAGAAAAUAUUCUCUGUUGCUUGGUUCAUAGAAGGGAAUUGCAUCUUCUGCACGUGAUAAAUUAAAGAUGGUUAAACUUCUGGGGAGAAAAUGCAAGCACUUGAAUGGUGUAUGAUGUACUGGUAUGGGCUGCCUCAGCUCUUUGGUCACAAAUAGGAUGUCUGCACUAAACAUUUUUAUUUUUAAUUAUCUCUGGUUAUCCAAACAGUGCGGCUACAGUUAACAAAUGGUAGGAACAUUAGUGUAGACCACUAGCUCAAAGCAAGUCUAUGUGAAAUGGUAGGUCAUUUUAAUGUCUGCUCUGUUGGUAGCUCUUCCACUAAUGGUAGCAAUGGAAGAAAGUUACAGGUAAAACAGGGUAGAUUAUCCAGAGGUCCAGUCUUUGUCCUCUGACCAAUGAACUUCUCUCCCUGCAUUUGUUUGUUUGCCUUGUCUUUCUCUGGUAUAAGCUGAUGACAGAUGCCAACAUGCAAUGGUGGAAGGAGGCAUGAUUUGUGAGCCUGAUCUAGCCUGUAGGGGUAGCCCUGCGCUGUUCAUUUGGCCUAUGGACUAGCCCUGCACCAUUCAUCUGGCCCUGAAGGCCAAAUGAGUUUAAUACCCCUAAUUUAAUGAAAUCAGGGGAAACUGGGUAACUUAGCCUGUAUUGUAGUAGCUGUAAUUUUCUCAUGUUCGAGGUUAUUGCUGGUUAGCCUGAAAUGAAGAGGCAGCCAGGUAGAAAUGGAGAUGUCUUGAAAAAGAGGAAGGUAUUUGGGAUAUUUUUCAAAUGAUAUAUUUAAUUCAUUAAAAAUGCAACUUUAAACUUUUACUUAAAGCAAGAAGUUUAAUAAUUCUUGACAAAACAAACAUUUUUGUCCUUGUAGCAGUGACUCCAAAAUAGCUAAAUUUGAUGUUAACUCACAGUGAGAAACUAAGUAAACAAUGGGACUUUUAAAGUACAGUAAAGAAGAGGAUGUUCAACUGGCAGCAUAAAGGAAGCUAGCAUUCUAAAACAACAUCCUCCACCUCUCCAGCCUCUUUUGACUUUUUUUUCUCAGUAAAAAAUAUUACCAAAAAAAUUGCUCAAGGCGGUUGUGUUUGAAGCUAUGUGUAUGAAUGUAUUUAUAAUUUCACAGUUUAAAAUGUCAGAAAAUCAUAAUUUAAUAGAUGUUAGAUGCAGUCUACUUCAGUAUUUGAGUAAUAGCAAAAAAGGAACUAUAUUUCUCUGUAACAAGAAUCCAUUUUGAUCAUCUGGAUGCUAUGCAGUUAAUGAGUAGCCGUUUUAGUAAAAUAGUGGGUUUUUAAGAAUUUAGACUUUGUUCACUUCUCAGCAGAAUCCAUUCUAUAUUUAAAAUUAAAGGCAUUUUUAUACAAAUGGAGUCAGACUCUGCAGUAAAAUAAAAUUAUAAGAUUAUAGGACACUUACUCCAGAAGUGGAUCUUCUUGAGAAAAUAGUUUUUCAAUGACUACCAUAGAUCUGGAUUCAGGUUGAACAUUACAAUCAGAAAAAGAGCAACAUUAGGAAUAUCCCAGUCUCAGAUUCUCCAGGUAUAGUGGUGUUUUUGUUUUGUAACCAUGACAUUUCCAACUUAUGUACACAGAUGAAAAUAUGGAUCAAGGGGCAUAAUGUUUUGCUGUGCAUUUGGGUUGCAUGCCACUAAUCUCUAACAGAGAGAUUAAAGUUCACUUUCCUUUCUUUUCUUCAUUUUAUAUUUCCCCUUUUCCUUUUCCUUUCCUAUUCUUUUCCUUUGCAAAGCCUCUAGAAAUUCAUCACAGUACAAUUUAAGACCAUCUCAGAACAGAUCAGCUAUGAUGAUCAGUUUAGUCUAAAAUACUUGUAAAAACUGUACUAAUUUUGCUUGCAUUGGCCUUCAAAAAAAAAAGUGGGAAGGGAUGUUUGAUGUUUUCAGUCUGAAACAUAUAACCAAAAGCCCAAGUGACUGAUAAAAAUGAGGAGCAGAUAUAUCAGCCCACUUACCAACUGCCUUUUGGCUCUUUAGAUGAAAUCUCACUUUUCAAAUGAUCACUAAAAGCCACAGCUGAGAAACCCAAUUCGAUCACCAUUAUUUUUUCUGUUCCUUUUCUUUUUUCCCCCUCUAUAGUUGUGUUAUUAAAUGGCUUUAGUCUGGUAUAGCAUGCUCCAUAUCAAGACUUGAAAUGUAUUUUUGCAUCAGAUCUCAGGAUUUUGUUGUUUUGGGUUUUUUGUUUUUUUUUUACUGGCAGGUUUCAUUUUAAGAGUGUGGUUGUUUGGCACAGCCGAAAACUGAGUGGGCUUUCAUCUUUAAUAAAUUCCUUCAAUUCUAAGAGCCUGAAGGCAGCUUUCCUGCUAACCUACCAGGUUGAUUAUUGCACAGUAUGUUGUUGUGUGGGAAAUAAGAAGUCAGGCCCUGAGCAUCCUUAAGCUAACACAGACAGGAAGCUCUGGGGAGAGAGGGAGGGAGGGCUGGAGGUUGAGACUAGCAGUCUCUGCCACAAGUACAGGUUGAUCCUACAAUAAAAUAAGCCUUGAGGCUCUGAGGAAUAAAUGCAAAUCAAGCAGGACAUCUCAGAAAAUAAACUUGUUAAUAUAACAGAGGGAAUAUUGAGACUGGCACAUUCUAUCACCCCCCCCCUUCUUUUCUUUUCUUUUCUUUUCUUUUCUUUUCUUUUCUUUUCUUUUCUUUCAUUUGUUUAGUGUCGUAAAUGACCAAAAAAUUCAAUAACCCCAGCUUCUUGAAUGUUACUUUUUUGUAGAGCUUUAUUAUUAAACUGUUAAACUAAAUUUCCAGCUAUCAAGCCCUGUCUAUAUUAGCCAUCUUGACUGCAUCCUUAGUUUUCAGGUGUCAAGAGUUUGUGCUAAAGCAUGAGACAAGGACGGGGUGCUUUAAAUAUAACUUGAGCAUCUGUGUAUGGUGUGACCCAGAAAGCUUCCUUGAUUUUUCUCUCAGACCUUGGUGCUUCAUGUUUUCUCUCUUGGAUGUCUGUUUUUACUUUGUCAGAAGCUGUCUGCUGCUUUUAAUUGUAUUAUUGCUAAAUGUUCUUUAUCAAUUUUUAUAGAUGCUAACAAAAGUACUGUGUAGUCAUUUUAUAUUCCUCUGUUCUCUCCCUAUAUGUCUCUGACCAUAGCAAAGUUUGGCCACUUCAAGUUGGGUUAUUAACACCAUUAUGUCUUUGUUUCCAUUUUUAAGCUGCUUGCUGCUAUUUAACUUCUGUGUAUCUUGCAAUUUUAGAACCGUUUUUGUUCAAAGAAAAAAUUAUGAUCUGUUACUACCUAAAUUCAGGCUUAGAUUUCAAGGUGUAUAUAGAAAGAUUUUUUUUUUAAGUGUAGUUGUCAAAAAAUUUUUGUAAAAUGGCACUUUUUUGCUUACUCUUCACUCUGGAUGAAAUUUCAGCAUGGUGUACUCAGCAAUAUGGUUUCCAUUGAUUUCCACUCCCAUGCUCAUUUUCCCCUCCCCCCGGGAAAAUAUCUGGGUAUUCAAAGUCAUGUUUGCUUUACCUCGUUGAAGAAAGGCUUUUUAUUCCUACUGUUAGCAAGAGAGCCAAUACAGCAAAAUUACUUUUUUCUGUUUGCAGAAUUACUAAUUCAAGUUCAUUUGCUAAAUUCUUGUCACUAGUCAAAAUGUCUGAGCAAGAUUGACUUUCAGUUCCUAUGGCAAAUUUUGUAGGCACAAAAAGAAGGUCUUUUACUAAAAAAACUGAGUAAAUUCUACUUAAGAUACUGAACAAAAAUCACCAAUGAAUUGUAAUUUUUAUGGUAUAACUGCAUUGUAAAGUAAGUUAAUAAAAUGAGAAUUAUUUUUUAACGUGCUGGAACAAGAACUAUAUUAUUUGGAAAAAUAAAUUGCUAUUUCAUGGUCACUGCCUAGUUCAAGAGUGCUGGUUUUAUUUUUAAUGUUUAUUCCUAUGUUUUAGUUGUGUUUGAAUUUUAUUUUUAGAUUAAAAUGAAGCAUUCCACAUGAGCAACUGCUAAUUUAUAAUUGGAUAAUCAUCUUGAGUGCAUAAAUAGAAAUCUGCCCUUUGCAAUCAAGUAUGAGUGCAAUGUUUGGAGUUGGUUUUAGGCUGAAAUAAAAGUACAUAUUCUGUUCAAAUUACCUGCCCACUUCUUUUCAUCAAAACUGAA